rnacentral:rRNA from 1 species
UACAGAGGUCCCAAGCGUUGUUCGGAUUCAUUGGGCGUAAAGGGGUGCGUAGGCGGUGGGGUAAGUUGGAUGUGAAAUCUUGGGGCUUAACCUCAAAAUUGCAUUCAAUACUGCUCCGCUCGAGUUCUGUAGAGGAGAUUGGAAUUUACGGUGUAGCAGUGAAAUGCGUAGAUAUCGUAAGGAACGCCAGUGGCGAAAGCGAAUCUCUGGGCAGCAACUGACGCUGAGGCACGAAGGCCAGGGGAGCAAACGGG